rnacentral:lncRNA from 1 species
CUUGUGCCUUCAGUGUGGUGGGGAGCCCCGUCCCAUGGCAUUCAAAACGGUACACACUCUCCAGGAAAGAGGGGGCACAGCCUUUGGCCAUGUCUCCUCAGACAAGAGGUCCCUGACCUGAUCCUGAGGUGCAGGGACUCUGUUCCUGAGAGCAUCUGCUGAGCCAACCCUUAUCACCUUCUUCUCUUCUCCUGAGUCUUAAUUUGCUGAAAAUCAAGCUAAAUCUUAAUUUUAGUCUACCACCCUCACUGUGCCUGAGACAUCGAGCACCCAGUUUAUAACCACAGGAAAUGCCUGCAGAGGUCACAAAGAGAGGUGGGCUAUAUGGACUCACUGGUUCUGAGGCUUGGAUGGUAUUGCUGGGACACCCAGAGCUCAGCAAGCCCCUGAGGGUAAUGGCAAGCAGCUGCUUAUGAUGGCAUCCGUUGUUUUGAAUAGAUGCUCUGAAGCUGGCCAUUGGAAAGUGCUUGUCCCCUUUGGUGAAAUGGACCAGGACUGACAGGAAAACAUACUGUUCACUCUUUUCCAAAGACUCUAGUGUGGUGCCAGUGGGUACAUCACAUGAGAGAGUAAACUGUGCCAAACUCAGUCAGCUCCCACUCGGGGGAGAGCAGAGCCUCUCACUGUCCCCUCUGAAUAGAAGCAGAAGUACAAGCCAUGCAGGAAAGCUAUGCCCAGGAAGACUCAACAAUUGGCAAGUGUUUUGUCCAUCUCAGCUUUGGAUGUGAACUGUAAUGGUCUUGUGUACAUGUCAGGGACCUUGGGACAUAAGUCCAUGGGGAAGUUUCUCUGAAGACCUAAACAAUGUACAGAAAUGUUGGACUUUAUGGAAGUAGAUUCACUCUGCAAAAGUCAUCUUGAUAUCAGGAUGCUUUUUGAUGUCAGUUUUCAGCAUGAAUGUCUCCCAGAAUCCUUUAUACAGACAUCUAGUGGACCACAGAGACGCUCGGGGUACACAGUGCAAAUCAUCAGAGAUUCCUUGAGGACUGUAGGGAGGCGAGCCCCCAAAAGCUUGCUCUGGGUAUAGAGCCUAGGCUACACAUCACCUUGAUGUCUGAAGCCUGAUGAUGCAGACCCUGGGACACCUAGCUUUAAUGCAGGUG